UUUCGAAUCAUUCACAAUGGGCGAAAGCCUGAUGGUGCGACGCCGCGUGGGGGAUGAAGGUCCUCGGAUUGUAAACCCCUGUCACCGGGGAAGAAACGCUUUGAGCUAAUAGUUCAAAGCCUGACUUAACCCGGAGAGGAAGCAGUGGCUAACUCUGUGCCAGCAGCCGCGGUAAUACAGAGACUGCAAGCGUUAUUCGGAUUCACUGGGCGUAAAGGGUGCGCAGGCGGCUAAGUGUGUCAGAUGUGAAAUCCCGAGGCUUAACCUCGGAACUGCGUCUGAAACUACUUGGCUAGAGUACUGGAGAGGGUAACGGAAUUCACGGUGUAGCAGUGAAAUGCGUAGAUAUCGUGAGGAACACCAGAGGCGAAGGCGGUUACCUGGACAGUUACUGACGCUCAGGCACGAAAGCGUGGGGAGCAAAAGGGAUUAGAUACCCCCGUAGUCC
rnacentral:rRNA from 1 species